UGCCCAUUGGCCCAGUGGUCAAGGCGUCUGACUGUUAUUAUCUCUAAAACAGUAGUAUCAGAAAAUCAGAAGAUCCCUGGUUCGACCCCAGGAUGGGCAG